AACGCGAAGAACCUUACCAAGGCUUAAAUGGGAAUUGACAGGUUUAGAAAUAGACUUUUCUUCGGACAAUUUUCAAGGUGCUGCAUGGUUGUCGUCAGCUCGUGCCGUGAGGUGUUAGGUUAAGUCCUGCAACGAGCGCAACCCCUGUCACUAGUUGCCAUCAUUGAGUUGGGGACUCUAGUGAGACUGCCUACGCAAGUAGAGAGGAAGGUGGGGAUGACGUCAAAUCAUCACGGCCCUUACGCCUUGGGCCACACACGUAAUACAAUGGCCGGUACAGAGGGCAGCUACCAAGUGAUUGGAUGCGAAUCUCGAAAGCCGGUCUCAGUUCGGAUUGGAGUCUGCAACUCGACUCUAUGAAGCUGGAAUCGCUAGUAAUCGCGCAUCAGCCAUGGCGCGGUGAAUACGUUCCCGGGCCUUGUACACACCGCUACAGU
rnacentral:rRNA from 1 species